rnacentral:lncRNA from 1 species
AAUUCUAUAUAUAAGAUAUAAUAAAACUAAAAUUUGUAAUCCGGCAAUAGUAUUCUGGAUGGUGAUUAGAUCCAAGAGGUUAAGAGAAUUAAGCAUGUUAGGACUUAUAGUGGUUUUAGGAUGGGUGACUCUCUGGAAAGUAAGGCGUCACAGUUGGUAUCAGAAUCAAUUACCAGCCGAAAGUGUGAGAUAAGUCUCAACUGAGCUAGAUUAUACAGUGGGGAAAGCAAGACUCUCAUACUGAUGAUUAUUGUAGGUGGAGUGCGGCUCACCACAAGGUCAGUUAAGCCGGAAGUGUGAGAUGAGUCUCGGCUGAGCCAGAUUAUACAGCGGGGAGAGCGAGACUUUUAUUUAGAUGACUGUUGUGGGUGCAGUGCGGUUCACCACAAGGUCGGCUAAGAUUAGCAAGACGAGUCUCACAUGACCUAAUAUUUGUGAGUCUGAGCCUGACGAAAAUAUCAGGGCUUAAAGAGCAGGAGACUAUGAAACCCCAAAUAAUACUAUAUGUAAGAUAUAUAAAAUAGGAAAGAUAUAUAUAAUAUGACUAAAACUCUUAACCCAACUAUAGCAUUUUAGACGAUGGCUAAGUUCAAGAGAUAAAAAGAGUUAAGUGUAUUGGGAUUAGAGUAGUUUCAUAAUAGAUAACCUUCUGGGAAGUAGG